GAAGCAGGGCGGCAUGCUAUACAUGCAAGUCGAACGAGUUCUGAUUAUUGAAAGGUGCUUGCAUCUUGAUUUAAUUUUGAACGAGUGGCGGACGGGUGAGUAACACGUGGGUAACCUGCCCUUAAGUGGGGGAUAACAUUUGGAAACAGAUGCUAAUACCGCAUAAAUCCAAGAACCGCAUGGUUCUUGGCUGAAAGAUGGCGUAAGCUAUCGCUUUUGGAUGGACCCGCGGCGUAUUAGCUAGUUGGUGAGGUAACGGCUCACCAAGGCAAUGAUACGUAGCCGAACUGAGAGGUUGAUCGGCCACAUUGGGACUGAGACACGGCCCAAACUCCUACGGGAGGCAGCAGUAGGGAAUCUUCCACAAUGGACGCAAGUCUGAUGGAGCAACGCCGCGUGAGUGAAGAAGGCUUUCGGGUCGUAAAACUCUGUUGUUGGAGAAGAAUGGUCGGCAGAGUAACUGUUGUCGGCGUGACGGUAUCCAACCAGAAAGCCACGGCUAACUACGUGCCAGCAGCCGCGGUAAUACGUAGGUGGCAAGCGUUAUCCGGAUUUAUUGGGCGUAAAGCGAGCGCAGGCGGUUUUUUAAGUCUGAUGUGAAAGCCCUCGGCUUAACCGAGGAAGUGCAUCGGAAACUGGGAAACUUGAGUGCAGAAGAGGACAGUGGAACUCCAUGUGUAGCGGUGAAAUGCGUAGAUAUAUGGAAGAACACCAGUGGCGAAGGCGGCUGUCUGGUCUGUAACUGACGCUGAGGCUCGAAAGCAUGGGUAGCGAACAGGAUUAGAUACCCUGGUAGUCCAUGCCGUAAACGAUGAAUGCUAGGUGUUGGAGGGUUUCCGCCCUUCAGUGCCGCAGCUAACGCAUUAAGCAUUCCGCCUGGGGAGUACGACCGCAAGGUUGAAACUCAAAGGAAUUGACGGGGGCCCGCACAAGCGGUGGAGCAUGUGGUUUAAUUCGAAGCAACGCGAGACCUUACCAGUCUUGACAUCUUUUGAUCACCUGAGAGAUCAGGUUUCCCCUUCGGGGGCAAAUGACAGUG
rnacentral:rRNA from 2 species